GAUCAGCCAUAUCCUGUAGUCUAGGAUGUGCUUUCAGCACGUUGGUACACUGAUAAGCAGGUGCUUUCAUUCCUUCUGCCUCUUGCAACAUGGCGCGCCUAGCACCCAUCAUUGUUUCUCUUUUUGCCAUCGCCGUGGUGUUCUCACAAGAAUCAUCAAAAUUUACAGCAUCAAUGACAGAAUCAACAAAAUCUACAUCAACGACAGAAUCCCCAAAAUCCACAGCAUCAACGACAGAAUCAACAAAAUCCACAGCAUCAACAAUGGAAUCAACAAAAUCCACAGCAUCAAUGACAGAAUCCCCAAAAUCCACAGCAUCAACGACAGAAUCAACAAAAUCCACAGCAUCAACAAUGGAAUCAACAAAAUCCACAGCAUCAAUGACAGAAUCCCCAAAAUCCACAGCAUCAACGACAGAAUCAACAAAAUCCACAGCAUCAACAAUGGAAUCAACAAAAUCCACAGCAUCAAUGACAAAAUCCCCCAAAUCCACAGCAUCAACAAGAGAAUCUGUCAUAUCUUUAACGACCAUGGUAUCAUCAACACCACAGGAAAUUAUUGAGAUAUCUCACACCUCUGGUGUGACUGAGAAGCCCAUCACCAGCGCAAACCACACAGACAACACCACUGCCACCGGUUCAACACUUCCUACAGCCACACAGACCUCCAGUGCCACCCACAGCACCUCAGUGCUGGUUACUAACAGCAGUAGCCUGCCCACCGCCCCCAAAACUCCAGGAGCCAACAUCACACCCUCCAGCACAGUUCAGAAUUUGAAUGGAAGCGAAUCUCUGGCCAAUAACCCAGGCCUGGUGGCUGUGCUGUGUAUUUUUGUCAUCAUACUGAUCCUGCUGCUGGGUGUCGGUGUUGCUAAGGCUAUAAGAUCCAGAGGGCCGAAGUUUGAAAGGUUGGACAAUUUGCCAAUGGGCAAGAUGAAUGAAGAAUCCCCUUUUGCACAUUACCCUCCAAAAUAAGAAAGUUUUCUCAGUCUGCCCAUUAAAAUCUGUAAGAACAUGUUUGUUUGUCUCAGAAGCCAGACAUUAGAUAAUUUUUUUAUUUAUGAUUAGGGUCAUUUUAAUCUUUCUUUAAAUGAAGGACUAUAUUUUAUUACAUUUGAAACAAAACUAUGCAAUAAGAAUUCCUGUCAAGUUACAGUAAAUUUACUGGUGCGCACUCAAACUGACCUGCUGGUUCAUAGCUACAUAUAGCUUUAAGAGCUAUACAUUACACAUUACCCAUUUACUCCAAGUGAGUAGCUGCAGAUUUAUUUAUAUAAAAAAAGAAUUGUUAUUUUAAUAAUUAUUUAAUUCAUAUUUCACUAUUUUAGUGAAAGUCAGGGAAAGGCACAUAUUAAUGCAAUUCAGUUCUCACCAUCCCAAAACAAGUAAUUUGUCCUUUCAAAAACUCAAUUGGACACAGGCCAUUAACUGCUCUCCCAGAGUGCCUCUCCUUCAGAAAUGAUUAACUGUGUCUUAAUGCAGCCACGUGCUUCAUUUCAUACCUGCUGAGAUAAGGGCCGGAUCCUCAUUAGCCAUGCUCCCAUUACGGGAGACCUGGGCAAUGUUGUUCAAUUCAGCAAUAAAUUGUGUUAUGAAAAAACCCAUUGAGACUUAGUCUAGUUUUUGGUCCUGCGUUGGUCAAAAUGCCUACCAAUCCAAAAACACAGUGGGCCUCAUUUAUCAGUAUAUUUGGGUGUAAAAAUCAUAGAACCAAGUUCCACGUCUGAUUCAUAAAACAGGUGCACCCAUGCCGAUCCGUGCUUAGCGCCAUGGACAUAAGGGUGGUUAAGGGUGUCAUGACCCUCGCAAAAAUCAGAUCCAACCAAUAUGACCAGCGGUGGUUUUUGAUACAGUCGACAUUGGUUGUUGCCCAGGGCAGCAUCAUGGUGGGGGUGGCAUUACGGGCAUCUGCAUUUUAUUUUUUUUGCAUGUGCACCCAUGCUGCCCUAUAGCUGCCCUUACAGCUAGGAAAUCUGUUUCAGAAAUAAAGAAUGUUUUAAAUCUGCAUAUGGUGAUGAUCUCUGUGCCCUCUCAACAUCCUGAACUAAGUGUUACCUGUCUGGCCCAACACUGUUUUCACUGAUGAAUGGCAUUUUCUUACAAAACUGGGCCACUGAAAACUCACUUGUUAACGGUAAAAUAGGGUGUGUAGAAAUAGUAUCAAUUAAUAACUUUAUGGCCCAAAACAUUUUUCAUUGUAAAAUUGACCUGGGAACUUUGCUCAUGUGCCAAUAGAUUUAUGAUGAAUAUGGACAUUUCAGUGUAAAACUAAUAGUUUUGCAGCCUGCAGUAUUUAAGCUGGAACAGACAAUUCGAAUGAGGAGCUGUGAAUACUGUGUGAUACAGGAGCUGUGUUGUUACUGAUGUGCAGAAAUAACAUCAAUGGAAGAUGGACAAGAAAAGGUCAAAGCCCUUUAUAUGUUUAAAUGGUUAAAUUAAGUAUAGCAGUAUGGCAUACAGUGUUAUUAUUAUAUUAUAAACAAUGUUUUUACGCAACAGUUUUAGAAAAUGGUGAUCAAUGGCCACAAUGCCGUACAAUCAACCU
ensembl:lncRNA